ACCAGAUCCUGGAGCUGCUGAACAUCUGAAGACUGAAGGUUGUUGUAUCUCAGGUCCAGUUCUAUCAGGUGGGACGGGUUGGACUUCAGAGCUGAGACCAGAGCAGCACAGCUGGUCUUUGACAAACUGCAGCGCUCCAAUCUGAAUCCAGAACAAAGAGUUGAGUUUAAAGACAAA